CCUCCAGACACAGCCCACCAUGGAGACGGUGGCCAGGUGCCCCUCCACCCAGGCACCACUUACCUGGGGAUGUACAGAUGGAUGUCCAGGCAAACAGGCCACUUGUGGGGUCUCUGGUCCCAACGCCAAUGGAGAGCCGGCUCUGGGCAGGUUAGAGCUGGAGGGAGGAGAAACCCACUGAGUCAGCCCAUACCCCGAAGGUUGAGAUCCCCUCCUGUGCCAGGCAUCUGGACGGCAAGGACAGCCUGCCCUCACUCUGCAGUGGCUCGCAGGCUUGUGGGGGAGCAGCUGAGCCCACAGGGAGCCAGAGGCGGGAGGCCGGAAGCCUGGGCACUGUGUGUCCCCAGAGGAGCCCCAAGCCAGCCUGGAGGAUGUCAGGGAUGCAUUCCAGGAGGAGUCAGCCACCCAAUUGAGACACAGAGCCAGGGCAUCCCCAGUGCUAGCCUGGCCCACCUGGGACCUUUCCCACGAAGCUGAACCUGGCUGAGCACCAUCCCGCUGUGGCCACCACCUCCUCCUCCUCUUCCUCUCCUCCCUUCCCUCACCCCGUGGACCCACCCACCCUUGGGCCUGGGGCCACACCUCAUGCACUCUCUCAGAGGGGGGCCUGCAGAGCCACUCUCUCUCGGCUCCAUCUCCCCUCUAGUGCCCCAAGGCCUCUGGGAGCCUCUCGCCCACCACCUCCUUGCUUUCUUGGGCACUAGGGGAGUCGUCACAGCUCUCCUGUCUGUGGGGCCUCAGAGACCUGUGUGGAAUUGCCCUGGGCCCACUGUGGAGACCCCUAAAGCUUUUCUUCUUGGGGUCCUGCUGCCCUUGUUAAGUGGGCUUGCGAUAUCCUACCUUGUUUUUAACCUGAAUUGACUCCCCCUUAGCUGAGAGAGCCAGACAGACUCCAUCUUGGCUCUAUGACUUGCAGCCCCUUACCUACCCCCUUCCACAAGGACUUAACUUGUGCAAGCCGACCCCCAGCACAUCCAAGAAUGCAAUUAACUGAUAAGAUACUGUGGCAAGCUAUAUCCGCAGUUCCCAGGAAUUCGCCCGGUUAAUAGCACCCAGAGCCCCCACAUUUGUGUCCGGUUGAUAACGCCCAAAGCCCCGCGUCUAUCACCUUGUGAUAGAUUUUAAGCCCCUGCACCUGGAACUGUUUGCUUUCCUGUAACCAUUUAUCCUUUUAACUUUUUGCCUGCUUUACUUCUGUAAGAUUGUUUUAGCUAGACCCCCACUUCUCCUUUCUAAACCAAAGUAUAAAAGAAAAUCAAGCCCCUUCUUCGGGGCUGAGAGAAUUUUGAGCACUAGCUGUCUCUCAGUCGCUGGCUAAUAAAGGACUCCUGAAUUCA